rfam:Rhizobium oryziradicis strain N19 scaffold7, whole genome shotgun sequence.
CACGCAUGCUGGAGCUCCGCAGCGGCGCCGGGGACUUAAGUCCAAACUUGGGUCCCGCACCGUGACCAACCCGGAGCUUAA